rnacentral:rRNA from 1 species
UACGUAGGGUGCAAGCGUCGUCCGGAAUUAUUGGGCGUAAAGAGCGUGUAGGCGGCCAGGUAGGUCUGCUGUGAAAACUCGAGGCUCAACCUCGAGACGUCGGCGGAAACCAUCUGGCUAGAGUCCGGAAGAGGAGAGUGGAAUUCCUGGUGUAGCGGUGAAAUGCGCAGAUAUCAGGAAGAACACCCGUGGCGAAGGCGGCUCUCUGGGACGGUACUGACGCUGAGACGCGAAAGCGUGGGGAGCGAACAGG